GAGGGUAUAGCUCAGUGGUAGAGCGCGUGCACAUGGGGCUGGGUUCAAUCCCCAGUACUGCCA
rnacentral:tRNA from 1 species